rnacentral:rRNA from 1 species
GGAUGUGGUGGGCGCAUUCACGACGGUGUGUCGCAUUUUAGAUUUCUGGGAGGAUUGACAGACAGAGAGCUCUUUCUUGAUUCGGUGGAUGGUGGUGCAUGUCCGUUCUUAGUUGCUGGAGCGAUUUGUCUAGUUAAUUCCGAUAACGAACGAGACUCUAGCCUAUUAAAUCGGUGCGCGGUUCUCUGCACUUUGCACCCUUCUUAGAGGGACAAGCGGCUCCUAGCCGCAAGAGAAAGAGCAAUAACAGGUCUGUGAUGCCCUUAGAUGUCCGGGGCCGCACGCGCGCUACACUGAAGGAAGCAGCGUGUUUUUAUCCCUCUCUGUGAAGACAGAAAGCUUAGAAAAAAGUUGCUUGAGCAAAUAGAGUGCUAAUUGAAGUCCAUCGGAUUACCACCGAGCAAG